CGUAGAUGGCAAGCGUUGUCCGGAUUUAUUGGGCGUAAAGCGAGCGCAGGCGGUUCUUUAAGUCUGAUGUGAAAGCCCCUGGCUCAACCAGGGAGGGUCAUUGGAAACUGGAGAACUUGAGUGCAGAAGAGGAAAGUGGAAUUCCAUGUGUAGCGGUGAAAUGCGUAGAUAUAUGGAGGAACACCAGUGGCGAAGGCGACUUUCUGGUCUGUAACUGACGCUGAGGCUCGAAAGCAUGGGAGCAAACAGGAUU
rnacentral:rRNA from 1 species